rnacentral:tRNA from 2 species
GGAGGUGAGCGGUGCCUGGUGGUGCCCCUGGUCUUCAAAACCAGUGUGGGGCUCGCAAGAUUCCCGGGUGGGUUCGAUUCCCAUUCACCUCCGCCA